AUACGGAGGAUCCGAGCGUUAUCCGGAUUUAUUGGGUUUAAAGGGAGCGUAGGCGGAUUAUUAAGUCAGUUGUGAAAGUUUGCGGCUCAACCGUAAAAUUGCAGUUGAUACUGGUAGUCUUGAGUGCAGCAGAGGUAGGCGGAAUUCGUGGUGUAGCGGUGAAAUGCUUAGAUAUCACGAAGAACUCCGAUUGCGAAGGCAGCUUACUGGACUGUAACUGACGCUGAUGCUCGAAAGUGUGGGUAUCAAACAGGAUUAGAUACCCUGGUAGUCCACACAGUAAACGAUGAAUACUCGCUGUUUGCGAUAUACAGCAAGCUGCCAAGCGAAAGCAUUAAGUAUUCCACCUGGGCAGUACGCCGGCAACGGUGAAACUCAAAUGAAUUGACGGGG
rnacentral:rRNA from 1 species